rnacentral:rRNA from 1 species
UACGUAGGGUGCGAGCGUUAAUCGGAAUUACUGGGCGUAAAGCGUGCGCAGGCGGUUCGUUAAGUUCGUCGUGAAAGCCCCGGGCUCAACCUGGGAAUGGCGAUGGAAACUGGCGGGCUGGAGUGUGGCAGAGGGGGGUGGAAUUCCGCGUGUAGCAGUGAAAUGCGUGGAGAUGCGGAGGAACACCGAUGGCGAAGGCAGCCCCCUGGGCCAACACUGACGCUCAUGCACGAAAGCGUGGGGAGCAAACAGG